GCUGCUUAAAAGACUAUAUUUCUUUUCAAUUCCUCGUUAUGAAGCAUAUCUACGUUGUACAGCCAUAGAAGAAAAGUUCAAAGGUCAAGGUUAUGGCACAGCUCUGCUUAAAAAAGUUGAGGAGGAAGCUUUAUCAAGGCAAUGUAAUAAAAUUUUUCUACUGACGUUUUCGUCAAAUACUCGAGCGAUAAGGUUUUAUGAGCGACACGGAUACAAAGCUGUUGGAAAGCCCCGAGCAGGUUACGGUUUGAUACCCAUCCUAGCAGACAAACCGGCUGUAGUUCGAUAUGAAAAGCAGUUGUCAUUGCGGUGACAACAUUUUACCAACCCGUUGUCAGAGGUACAAAUGCACAUGAUUUCCUGGUUCCACAAUGCAUACUUUACAAGUGAAGACACUCUAGCGGGAAUGGCACCCAAUUUCAGAUGUAAAUAUUAAUUUCAAUAAAUAAAAAUCCAUG